CAUUGAGCCCCAGAAGGCAAAAUUAGGAGCAGUGGUGGAAGAUUCAAAGAAGAAAAUGUAGGGCUGAGGAUAGGAAAAUUCCUAACCAGUAAGCUAUCCCGUAGUCACAUGAAUUACUUCAAGAGGUCACUAUUCUCUCAUCUUUAGAAGAACAUGUUGGACUAGAUGCUCUCUAAAGUCUCUUCAAGCUCUAAAUUUAUGAUUCUACAAAAAAUGGAGAGAUAUUGAAGAUUUUCAAGCAGGCAUGCAGAUGAUGCAGUGAAUUGAGCACUGGACCUGCAGUCAAGAAGACCUGAGUUCAAAUACUUGCUGGUUGUGUGACCCUGGGCAAGUCACUCUGCUUGCCUUUUUCCCUCAACUGUUAAAUGAAGCAGGUACUACAGUCCCAGCUACUGAAGAGCCAGAAAAGAACGUUCUUGCUACCAAAAUGCUUGGGACUAUUGAGUGGUUCAACAUGAGAAACUGCUGUGAUUUUAUCAGUGGAAAUGAUAUUAAAGAAGAGAUAUUAACAUCUACUUAGCUCCUGCUUCCUAAAGACCAUGUAACCUUUCCAUCUGACUUGCUGCUGAAUCCUUCCAGGUAUAUUGUCUCCCCAGCUAGAAUAUGAGCUCCCUAAGAGUAAAAGUCUUUCUUACCUAUUUAUAUUCUCAGUGUUUUGCACACAGUAAUUAUUUAACAUUUUCUCACUUUUAUUUCUGUUCCCAUUUCAAGUUCAGUUAAUUCAGUUUGUAAGACCAAAAGGAAAUAUGUUCUUUUUAGCCUUUGUGAAAUGCCUUUUAACCCUGGCUAGGUACAGCUCAUCAUUUUUUGCAUUUUAAGCCAUGGUCCAGAGCUCCAAAUCCCAUUCUUAGGUGCUGUCUAGUUAGCCAGCUCUUUACUUCCCAAAUCAGCAUUUGUCCUUUUCUUCCCUUGCCUUCAAC
ensembl:lncRNA